CCGAGUUUACAACUCCCAAACCCCUGUGAACAUACCUAUCGUUGCUUCGGCGGGAUCGUCCCGGCGCCCCUCUUCGGGGCCCGGACCCAGGCGCCCGCCGGAGGACCCAAACCCUUGUAUUAUUUUGAGUAUCUUCUGAGUAAACAAGCAAAUAAAUCA
rnacentral:misc_RNA from 1 species